rnacentral:sRNA from 1 species
UAUUAUAAAAGUAAAAGACAAGAAAUCAAUUAAAAUUGGUUGUAGAUUCAGAUGAUUAAGAUGUCGGGUUUAGAAAAUUCUCAGGAGAUAUCAGAAUAGUAGAUCUAGCAGUAAAUUAGGAAUAUUAUCGAACCAUUCUAGAACACAAAUCACUAAUAUAAA